rnacentral:rRNA from 1 species
CAGUAGCCGCGGUAAUACGGAGGGAGCUAGCGUUGUUCGGAAUUACUGGGCGUAAAGCGCGCGUAGGCGGUUACUCAAGUCAGAGGUGAAAGCCCGGGGCUCAACCCCGGAACUGCCUUUGAAACUAGGUGACUAGAAUCUUGGAGAGGUCAGUGGAAUUCCGAGUGUAGAGGUGAAAUUCGUAGAUAUUCGGAAGAACACCAGUGGCGAAGGCGACUGACUGGACAAGUAUUGACGCUGAGGUGCGAAAGCGUGGGGAGCAAACAGGAUUAGAUACCCGCGUAGUCCCUGUCUCUUAUAC